GGGUCAGCAGGUUGGUCGUGCCACUGGUAUGUACUGGCCUUGCUGAUUCCUCCCUCUUGAUGAGCCGUAAUGCCAUUAAUUUGGUGUUGCGGGGAAUCAGGACUGUUACUUUGAAAAAAUUAGAGUGUUUAAAGCAGGCUUUCAAGCUUGAACAUAUUAGCAUGGAAUAAUGAAAUAGGA
rnacentral:rRNA from 1 species